rnacentral:rRNA from 1 species
GAGUUUGAUCCUGGCUCAGAUUGAACGCUGGCGGCAGGCCUAACACAUGCAAGUCGAGCGGUAACAGGAAGAAGCUUGCUUCUUUGCUGACGAGCGGCGGACGGGUGAGUAAUGCCUGGGAAUAUGCCUUAGUGUGGGGGAUAACUAUUGGAAACGAUAGCUAAUACCGCAUAAUGCCUACGGGCCAAAGAGGGGGACCUUCGGGCCUCUCGCGCUAAGAUUAGCCCAGGUGGGAUUAGCUUGUUGGUGGGGUAAUGGCUCACCAAGGCAACGAUCCCUAGCUGGUCUGAGAGGAUGAUCAGCCACACUGGAACUGAGACACGGUCCAGACUCCUACGGGAGGCAGCAGUGGGGAAUAUUGCACAAUGGGGGAAACCCUGAUGCAGCCAUGCCGCGUGUAUGAAGAAGGCCUUCGGGUUGUAAAGUACUUUCAGCAGUGAGGAAGGGCGGUACGUUAAUAGCGUAUUGUCUUGACGUUAGCUGCAGAAGAAGCACGGAGUAACUCCGUGCCAGCAGCCGCGGUAAUACGGAGGGUGCGAGCGUUAAUCGGAAUUACUGGACGUAAAGCGCAUGCAGGUGGUUUGUUAAGUCAGAUGUGAAAGCCCGAGGCUCAACCUCGGAAGGUCAUUUGAAACUGGCAAACUAGAGUACUGUAGAGGGGGGUAGAAUUUCAGGUGUAGCGGUGAAAUACGUCUAGAGUACUGUAGAGGGGGGUAGAAUUUCAGGUGUAGCGGUGAAAUGCGUAGAGAUCUGAAGGAAUACCAGUGGCGAAGGCGGCCCCCUGGACAGAUACUGACACUCAGAUGCGAAAGCGUGGGGAGCAAACAGGAUUAGAUACCCUGGUAGUCCACGCCGUAAACGAUGUCUACUUGGAGGUUGUGGCCUUGAGCCGUGGCUUUCGGAGCUAACGCGUUAAGUAGACCGCCUGGGGAGUACGGUCGCAAGAUUAAAACUCAAAUGAAUUGACGGGGGCCCGCACAAGCGGUGGAGCAUGUGGUUUAAUUCGAUGCAACGCGAAGAACCUUACCUACUCUUGACAUCCAGAGAAUUCGCUAGAGAUAGCUUAGUGCCUUCGGGAACUCUGAGACAGGUGCUGCAUGGCUGUCGUCAGCUCGUGUUGUGAAAUGUUGGGUUAAGUCCCGCAACGAGCGCAACGCUUAUCCUUGUUUGCCAGCACGUAAUGGUGGGAACUCCAGGGAGACUGCCGGUGAUAAACCGGAGGAAGGUGGGGACGACGUCAAGUCAUCAUGGCCCUUACGAGUAGGGCUACACACGUGCUACAAUGGCGCAUACAGAGGGCAGCCAACCAGCGAUGGUGAGCGAAUCCCAAAAAGUGCGUCGUAGUCCGGAUUGGAGUCUGCAACUCGACUCCAUGAAGUCGGAAUCGCUAGUAAUCGUAGAUCAGAAUGCUACGGUGAAUACGUUCCCGGGCCUUGUACACACCGCCCGUCACACCAUGGGAGUGGGCUGCAAAAGAAGUAGGUAGUUUAACCCUUCGGGGGGGACGCUUACCACUUUGUGGUUCAUGACUGGGGUGAAGUCGUAACAAGGUAGCCCUAGGGGAACCUGGG